rnacentral:rRNA from 1 species
UGCAGUCGGACGGUAGCACAGAGAGCUUGCUCUCGGGUGACGAGUGGCGGACGGGUGAGUAAUGUCUGGGGAUCUGCCCGAUAGAGGGGGAUACCACUGGAAACGGUGGCUAAUACCGCAUAACGUCGCAAGACCAAAGAGGGGGACCUUCGGGCCUCUCACUAUCGGAUGAACCCAGAUGGGAUUAGCUAGUAGGCGGGGUAAUGGCCCACCUAGGCGACGAUCCCUAGCUGGUCUGAGAGGAUGACCAGCCACACUGGAACUGAGACACGGUCCAGACUCCUACGGGAGGCAGCAGUGGGGAAUAUUGCACAAUGGGCGCAAGCCUGAUGCAGCCAUGCCGCGUGUAUGAAGAAAGCCUUCGGGUUGUAAGUACUUUCAGCGGGGAGGAAGGCGAUGGGGUUAAUAACCCUGUCGAUUGACGUUACCCGCAGAAGAAGCACCGGCUACUCCGUGCCAGCAGCCGCGGUAU